rnacentral:rRNA from 1 species
UACGAAGGGGGCUAGCGUUGUUCGGAAUUACUGGGCGUAAAGCGCGCGCAGGCGGUUCUUCAAGUCAGUGGUGAAAGCCCGGAGCUCAACUCCGGAACUGCCAUUGAAACUGUAGAACUUGAGGAUGAGAGAGGUGAGUGGAAUUCCCAGUGUAGAGGUGAAAUUCGUAGAUAUUGGGAAGAACACCGGUGGCGAAGGCGGCUCACUGGACCGGUACUGACGCUGAUGCGCGAAAGCGUGGGGAGCAAACGGG